CAAGAGUCUUGGAAGUGAAUUUUUCCAAGCUAUCACGAGUUUUUCUGGCACAAUCGACAGCAUGAAUCUGCAUAAAGGGCGGCAUGUCAACAGCCACAACCUUGACGCCGGUGCAACAAAAGAAGUCAGCCAACUCAGCUUGCGAGCAGCAAAAUGACUUCCUUCUGCCAUUCACCGCAAGCGAAAUACAUGGUCUAUUCAUUUCACACUACGGCGUGGCUUGAUUAGGUUUCUCCAAUUCAAGACUCUUCGACAUCAAGCCAUACGCUUUCUUCACGCCUCUCCUCCUGUCAUAGAACUCCUCCUCCCUUUUCUGGGCUCCUCCUCCUCUUGCUCCUGACGAUGAUUUCUUGAUUCUAAGAUUAGAUUUAUGCCCGUCUAAUAAGGCCUUCUGAGCUGGAGGAGCAUUAGCCAGGCCUUCCUAAAUUGUCCCUGCUUUUUGUAUUGGAAAUUGCGCAAACGGACGCAUCGAUGAAG
rnacentral:lncRNA from 1 species